AGCCGAAUAGUGUAACGGUAACACCUACGACUCUGACUCGUAUUUUCUAGGUUCGAAUCCUAGUUCGGCUGCCA
rnacentral:tRNA from 1 species